GACGAACGCUGGCGGCGCGCCUAACACAUGCAAGUCGAACGAGCAAAGAGGAGCUUGCUUCUCUGAGCGAGUGGCGAACGGGUGAGUAACGCGUGAGGAACCUGCCUCAAAGAGGGGGACAACAGUUGGAAACGACUGCUAAUACCGCAUAAGCCCACGGGUCGGCAUCGACCAGAGGGAAAAGGAGCAAUCCGCUUUGAGAUGGCCUCGCGUCCGAUUAGCUAGUUGGUGAGGUAAUGGCCCACCAAGGCGACGAUCGGUAGCCGGACUGAGAGGUUGAACGGCCACAUUGGGACUGAGACACGGCCCAGACUCCUACGGGAGGCAGCAGUGGGGAAUAUUGCACAAUGGGGGAAACCCUGAUGCAGCGACGCCGCGUGGAGGAAGAAGGUCUUCGGAUUGUAAACUCCUGUUGUUGAGGAAGAUAAUGACGGUACUCAACAAGGAAGUGACGGCUAACUACGUGCCAGCAGCCGCGGUAAAACGUAGGUCACAAGCGUUGUCCGGAAUUACUGGGUGUAAAGGGAGCGCAGGCGGGAAGACAAGUUGGAAGUGAAAUCCAUGGGCUCAACCCAUGAACUGCUUUCAAAACUGUUUUUCUUGAGUAGUGCAGAGGUAGACGGAAUUCCCGGUGUAGCGGUGGAAUGCGUAGAUAUCGGGAGGAACACCAGUGGCGAAGGCGGCCUACUGGGCACCAACUGACGCUGAGGCUCGAAAGUGUGGGUAGCAAACAGGAUUAGAUACCCUGGUAGUCCACACCGUAAACGAUGAUUACUAGGUGUUGGAGGAUUGACCCCUUCAGUGCCGCAGUUAACACAAUAAGUAAUCCACCUGGGGAGUACGACCGCAAGGUUGAAACUCAAAGGAAUUGACGGGGGCCCGCACAAGCAGUGGAGUAUGUGGUUUAAUUCGACGCAACGCGAAGAACCUUACCAAGUCUUGACAUCCUGCGACGGACAUAGAAAUAUGUCUUUCCUUCGGGACGCAGAGACAGGUGGUGCAUGGUUGUCGUCAGCUCGUGUCGUGAGAUGUUGGGUUAAGUCCCGCAACGAGCGCAACCCUUAUGGUCAGUUACUACGCAAGAGGACUCUGGCCAGACUGCCGUUGACAAAACGGAGGAAGGUGGGGAUGACGUCAAAUCAUCAUGCCCUUUAUGACUUGGGCUACACACGUACUACAAUGGCGUUAAACAAAGAGAAGCAAGACCGCGAGGUGGAGCAAAACUCAGAAACAACGUCCCAGUUCGGACUGCAGGCUGCAACUCGCCUGCACGAAGUCGGAAUUGCUAGUAAUCGUGGAUCAGCAUGCCACGGUGAAUACGUUCCCGGGCCU
rnacentral:rRNA from 1 species